GACGUGCGCCGGAUGACUGCUCCGCCUUAGGUGGAGAGGAAAGUCCGAACACCCCCCAAGCCCCCCAUUUUUGAGAGGUUUGUGGAAGUAGGUCGUUCCGAAAGGGAACCGAGCAAUUGGUUGUAAGCUUUCGGCCGAAUAACCAAUGGUUUAGGGAAAGUGUCACAGAGACAAUACUGCCGAUGAUCUCGCUUAGCGGGAUACAGGUAAUAGGUGAAAAGUAAGGGCCUAAGAAUCCUUUCUCUUCAUAGGUGACUAUGAGGAGUGAAAAACCCGACCUGGUGCAAGAUCGCAUAGGUCUAGUCAUUCGACUGGACGGGUAGAUCGCAUGAUCCCGACGGCGACGUCGGGGCUAGAGAGAUAGUCAUCCCUCAUUAUGAGGACAGAAUUCGGCUUAUAGGUGUGCGUCAGCA
rnacentral:RNase_P_RNA from 1 species